rnacentral:rRNA from 1 species
CCUACGGGUGGCAGCAGUGAGGAAUAUUGGUCAAUGGGCGUAAGCCUGAACCAGCCAAGUCGCGUGAGGGAUGAAGGUCCUAUGGAUCGUAAACCUCUUUUAUAAGGGAAUAAAGUGCGGGACGUGUCCCGUUUUGAAUGUACCUUAUGAAUAAGGAUCGGCUAACUCCGUGCCAGCAGCCGCGGUAAUACGGAGGAUCCGAGCGUUAUCCGGAUUUAUUGGGUUUAAAGGGUGCGUAGGCGGGCUUUUAAGUCAGGGGUGAAAGUCUGGGGCGCAACCAUAGAAUUGCCGUUGAAACUGGGAGGCUUGAGUAUGUUAGAGGCAGGCGGAAGUCGUGGUGUAGCGGUGAAAUGCUUAGAUAUCACGCAGAACCCCGAUUGCGAAGGCAGCCUGCCGGGCCAUGACUGACGCUGAGGCACGAAAGCGUGGGUAUCAAACAGGAUUAGAUACCCCAGUAGUC